GCCGGGCGUGGUGGUGCAUGUCUGUAAUCCCAGCUACUCAGGAGGCUGAGGCAGGAGAAUCGUUUGAACCCGGGAGUUGGAGUUUGCAGUGAACAAAGAUCAUGGCACUGUACUCCAGCCUGGGUAACAGAGUGAGACUCUAUCUCAA
rnacentral:SRP_RNA from 1 species